AAAAAAGUGAUUUGUUAGGCAAGCCUGUCAAAGUAAUGGGCUGGACUUACAGCAAAAUAAAAGUGACUGGAUUUCUUCCUUGUCAUUUCCUCCGUGAAUUUUGAGGCUACAAUGCUUAGUGGACAAAUGUUGAACGGUGCCUAAAUUGGCAAGCUUGAAUUGAGGAUUUUAGGAAGAAAGACAGGUAUCUAUAUGAAUAUGAAUUGAGGAUUUCAGACUCUGAACAAACGAAAAAUAGACAAAGGAAUGAUUAUAUGGAACUUGCAGGCCAAGUUCAAGGGCGGAAUUAUGGUAUAAUUCUCGUGCCUAGGACGUGUUCGAUAAUAUGUCCUCCAAGGAACGUGCAUCCCACCUGGUGUAAUCGGAUCUGUAAGUUUUAUGCUAUGCAGUUCUAUUUAUUUUCAAUUUUUUUUUUGAAUUUUCAGAAUUAAUAUGAAGAAAAACGUCAUUUAUUUCCAAAACAGAACCAUUAUCAAGUUUCAUAAUUUCUUGUACUUGUAAACUUUGGUCUUUGAGAAAUAUUUUAGUUUUAGUUUAGUUUAGUUUUAUUUUUUUCCCCAUAAGGUAGAGAUGAGAUGAGAAACCUCAUUCAUUAAACACCAAAAAGUAUUUUAAAGUAUGCUGGCGGUCUUCCGUUAGUCUCAAGGUUUUGGGCUCAUUUUUUGUUUGGUAGAACCAUAGCUGAACGGGAAAGUGCACUACAAUGACUAUAUAGAGAUCCUGAAAGUGAGAUUCUUGAUGCACUUCAAAUGAGUUUUGAUGGGUCAAAAGGAAUAGAGAAGAAAAUAUUUCUCGCUAUUGUGUGUUUCUAUGAA
rnacentral:lncRNA from 1 species